rnacentral:lncRNA from 1 species
CCCUGGAGCCUCACUCAUGACUCUCCUCUCAGGCCUUUGCCAGGAAGAUGAUAUUAUGCCCAUUUUAUGAAAGAAUCAUCUUUGGGUGAAAUGUGAUCUUGUCAGUGUAAUAUGGAAGUGGAGAUUGACUCUGGAGCUAGCCUGAUGGGGCCUGAAUUCUGACUCAGCCACUUACUAUAUGACCUUGGGUAUUCAUAGCAGUGUAACCCACAAUGUGAGAACACCAUUGGUAACUCUGAUGUACUGUUUAAGAUGCCUAAUCCUAUUAUCCAAAUAAAAUCUGUUGAUGUU